rnacentral:rRNA from 1 species
GACGAACGCUGGCGGCGUGCCUAAUACAUGCAAGUCGAACGCAGUGGGGACGGGUGAGUAACACGUGGGUAACCUCCCAUCAGAGGGGAUAACCCUUGGAAACAGGUGCUAAACCGAUACUGAUGGAUGGACGCGCGGUGCAUUAGCUAGUUGGUGAGGUAACGGCUCACCAAGGCCACGAUCCAUAGCUGGCCUGAGAGGGUGAUCGGCCACACUGGAACUGAGACACGGCCCAGACUCCUACGGGAGGCAGCAGUAGGGAAUCUUCGGCAAUGGACGAAAGUCUGACCGAGCAAUGCCGCGUGAGUGAAGAAGGUCUUCGGAUCGUAAAAUUCUGUUGGUAGAGAAGCGGUAUCUAACCAGAAAGCCACGGCUAACUACGUGCCAGCAGCCGCGGUAAUAC